UAAAAAUUAAGAAAAUGAAAUCUUCAUUUUAAUUUAAUCUUCUCUUUUAGACUUAAAAAAAAAAAAUCUAACAAGAAACUUCACUCUUGGCCCCAGUUUGUAUUUGUGUUCGGAACAAAGACACGUAUUUGGGAGUAUUCAUAAAUCUGUCAAACCUGCACAGCAACACACAUUGUUGUUGCCUUGGACUUUUGGCAGCAUCGAGGAAAGAGGGGGAAUCAAAAUGUGUUUGUUUUGUCUUGCUGUGCUGUUUUCCCUGCCAACUGAUUCUAAUUGCUAAUAUGUCAGAGAACUGAAGUAAUUUUAUUAUUCAUGAUUGUUGAUUCUUGGCCUAUGAAAUGUUUAUGGCUUUUAUACACAUUUAAUAGUUUUAAACUCUCUAUCUGUUUUUAAGGAUCAAAAAAAAAAAUCUCUCUUAAAUGGCAUUAGAGUGUGGCUUUCCUCUGGAAUUGAUAAAAGAGGAACUGUCCUUUAAAAUAUUGCAUUCAUCCUCUCUUCUAAAGAAAAUGCUGUGUUUAAAUUCAGGCCUCUUGGAAAAGGCCUCAAAACUGAAACUUUUUAUGUCUUUUGUACCUGUUUUCAAUUAUACUUUAGUCAAGAGCUGCCUUGUUGACUUCAGGGAGAACUAAGGUUCAGUAGAAACUGGUAGAGAUCCUUGCUUGCUGUUGAUACCAGUUGAGUUAUUUCACAGUUAUUACGAUUUGUCAAGCCACUACCUUGGUUUACAGGCCAUAGUGUUUUUAUGUAAAAUAUUACAGGUACACAUACAGCAGCCUUUGGAGUCAGCCAGAGGCAGUGCUGCACAGCAGAGUGGAUUUCUGGAUGGCACGAUUGGAAGACAGAACUGCUAUUGUGUCAAAUUCAUUGUGCACGUGGAAAUUAAAUAAGGCUCUGAAGUUCAUCCUGUGCUUCAGCUAUCUUGAAACCAUAUUGGUUUCCCUUGUUCUUGCUAAGACUAAAAUAUUUUCACAAACUGGGAAUAUGGAUUCUUUCCAGAUGUUAAAGAAACUACUUGAAGUUAAAGGUACCUAAAUAGCAAGCGAUGAUUUUUGCUUAUUCUUUUCAUAAAGUCAAAAUGACAAAGAGACUUACCAGUUCCUGGUAAUUCGAUGGCAAACUGUAGGUGUAUGAAUAAGGAAACAGUAGCAGCUGGGAAUAGGAGUGAAUUGUCAGGUAUGCCUUGAUUGUAGAAAGAUGUUCACGAAUGAAAUCAGCCAAAGCUUUGGUCUCAUUUUCAGACUCAGGUGCAGAGCCACAGUAAGUGGAAUCACAGGGGUAGUCUGAGGCCCCAAGAGCUGAGAAGAAAGGUGAAUUUAGCGAGUACUUAAUGAAGAAGUAGAUUGUUAGGAGAGUCGUGUUACACCAUGUUUGUAGGAGACACUUACUGCACCAGCCAGCAUCAAAAUUCCUGUUGGGAUCUGUCCCAAUGCAGCUGGUGCCAGAAUUUUUAGAGCGCGUCUUUCUCCACAUGCGGUCCUGUAACAGAAUCACAGAUGAAAACUUAGAGCAGAACAAUAUUGCUGUCCAUAUAUAUUCCUAUAUCCUAGCACCUUAAAGAAACAAUCCCAAGUGAAAUUCUGAUGAUACUCAGAGGUCUGCUCUUUUAAAGCACUUCUGCCUAUGGACUCGCUGAGCAGAGGCACUGCUGGUGUCAGGUACACCCAUGAAUUAAGUGACCAGACAGUGAAAAUGACAGCUGCAGUGACGUGAAUUGCUGAGAGAAAAAUGGUACCACAUACUGUCUGCAGCCUUAUUAGGCACUAAUGAAAUCAUAUUCCCAUUGCCUCCACCAAAAUGUCACUUCCAAUUUCCACUGCUCCCUACACAAAACCGCAUGCCUGUCUGAUAAGACUGAGAUUAUACUUGCCACCAAGGCCUCUGCCAGCAUGGCUGGCUCAUUUGGGUUGGCUUUCCUCAUCUUGGGUUUUAGAUUCCUGCUGCUACUUCUGGUGUGGUUUUAUUUAUUUGUUUGGUUGGUUUUGUUGGUGUUUUUUUCUUAAUCUUCCAACAGAAGUUAUUACAAAAUUUGAGAUUUUGUCAGUAAGUUGCCCUGUUAAAUUACUCCAUCUGAGAGGUAAUAUACCUGCCUCAGGUAUAAUAAUAUACAGGUAAUAUACCUGUGAAAAUGGCUGUGCAGCAUUUGAUAACCCCCACCUGCUUUAUAUUGGUAGUGAGAAAGAAAAUAUAAAGGACAUAAAAUUGUUUAAUUCAAGACCUAAAGUCUCCCAGACUGAAGUGAAGCUAAUUUCACCUGUGCAGCUCUUCCUUCAAUAUGGUUUCAUAUUUAGCAUGUUUCUAUACAGCCUGAGGUGGCAGCUCAAAGGGUUGUAUAUGCAUUUGCCUCUUCCUGAGUGGAGCUCAGGGAGCUUCAUUUACAGUCUUCCUCCUUUCUUGGGCACAUUUCCUCAGUGCUGAGCUGAAGGUAGGUUUCCAUCCUCUCUGUUGCCUUACUGCAUAAAGCUGGUUGCAAGGAAUCCACCAUGUGGCACUGUAGCAAGUCAGCUGUUCUGAAGUGCAUUCAGGUGCCUUCUGAUGUGCCCUUGAAUUUUCUUAUUCCUGAUGUCUGUGUGCAGAACAUGGCUAUGUUUGUGGUGUUACUAGAGCUACUUGCUUUUCUCUCACCUUUCUCCAACUACAGGUGCAAAAAGAAUUUACAAACUGAGCAACUGUUGUAGUUGUCAGUACCUCUUAGACACGUUUCAUGUUGCCUUAAGCUGCUGAAAGAUUACAGGUCCAAGGACAAAGAUCUGGUUUAAGUAGUUGCACCUUAACCCUCUGAGGUGAGAAGAAGGCACGAGCAGACACGUAUUUAGAGGGAAAAAGGCAGUGGCCUAAGCUCUUCCUUCUCAUUUAAGAUUUUCUUAAACAUAGGUUUUGUAAAAUACUUUUUCAUCAUUAGGCUUACUGACCUCUUUGACAAACCACUGGCAGAAAGCAGGGCUGAUCCACUCUCUUGCAUGGAAACCACAAUCCAUAAAGAUGGCCUUCUUAUUUGCACCACUUUUUCCCAUCUAGGAAUAAAAACCAACAAAAACAACACCCCAGGGCUUGAACAAAAUAAAUUGUAUGCUGAACAAGUUAGUCAGCUUGCUGACCUAAAAAGUCAAACUUUAUACAAAUAUGGUAUUCCUUGUUUAAAAUGGAAAUCUAUGGAGAGCUCCCAACUGUACCUGACCUUGAUAUUCAAGCUAAAAAAAAAAUCUUAAUAAUUUCAUUUUUAUUAAUGUUGACAAGCUUCCCCUAAUUAUUUGAUUACUCUGCAUUGUUGAUUUAUUUCCUGCAGUGUCUCUAAAAGUUUAUCUUGUAUGCUUGAAUGAUAUAUUACUGUAAAUAGAGGAAAAGAAGAAAUCAAGGCACUUACUUUGAGAAGGUACAUUGGCCGUCCUUCAUAUGUUUUCCCAAUUUCACUACGAGAGACAAGGUCUGGGUUCUGAGCAGCAAUAUCAGCAGUCCAAGCAGCAAUCUGUUUAAUAAAGAGGUUAAAUCUAAAUCUCUGUUCCUCAGGCCCAGACUGAUUAAUUUGCAGAUUUCAAGCCAGAACAGUCUUUCUGAGCAUCUAAUGUGGCCUAAUAGUUAAUACAGUUUGUAGAUUUCCAAGGAGCCACUGCAAAGAUGUGAAGAGUUACAUGGCCAUGAUUACAUGUUAGGAAAAAUGAACAUGGCUGUGAAAAAAGGAGGAAGGGAUCUUUUGACAGGACAUGAAGGCUAGAACUGAGGCAGGGAAUGGAAUCGAGUUGUUUAGCAGAGGAGAUGGGAGAAGUAUUGAAAAGUAAAGGAAAUUAAUAGUGAAGCAUCUCAGCCUGGUCAUUGGAUUUCUGCCAAAGGUUCUUUGCAGCAUUAGGAGCAAAGCAGAGGAAAUAAGAGUAGGUUACACAAACUAGCUCAGUAACAAAGAGCAAGGAGAGUUUGGAGGCAUUAUCAUGUCAAGGGAUGGAGCAGAAGAGGAAAAGGGAAGAAGGCUGGAAGCACUCUGACUACAGAAGCUAAGGUACCAAGCUGAUAGUGUGGUGAAUUCUAGACUUUACCGUGUCCCAGCUGUUGUACUUCACAUAGCUGUGGCUGGCAGUACGAGCUUGGCUGUCAAACUGGGCAUCCAGUGCAGCCUGCAGGUUGUCAAUCAGAACUCUGCAGGAAGGCACCACAAAAAGUGUGAAGAGAAACAUACAGCAAUCCAGCAGGAAAGCAAGAUAUUUCAAGGUCUGCCCAGCAUUUGGACUGCACAGAUUGUGAAAGGAAAGGUGGGCAAGUUGAAAAUAAGCUAUGUGAGUUUCAGGUUUCAACCUACACCCUGCCCAGCCUUGCCACAAGAAGGACCAGGGAGCAACAGGCUCCUGCCAAUUAGCAGCUGCCUCACUCCCAUACUAACAAACCUCCAGGGUGGCAACAGUUUGGUUGCAGAAAAAUGGCAAUGCUGAGGCAGAGUGCGUCUCAAAACGAGCUCUAGGCUGAUCUUAUGUUGCCAGCUGCUUCUGCCUCAAUAGGAAAAGGGUCUUCUUGAAAUUUUGGCACUGAGGACAGUUAGACUGCAGCAAUGUUUCAAAACCAGGCAACAACCCAGAGAUGUUUGCCUGAUGAAAUUCUCUGUAAAACCAAGUUUCCAAAGGUUAGAUGUGGUUUGGCAGCUCUGUUGCAGGUGGCAUUAUUCAUCCUCCAAACUACUUUGUUGCAGGUGUGGUGAGCUAUUAAAUAGAACACACAAUUGCAAGAAAACCUCAACAGCCUGUCUGGAUUGGUUGGAUCUCUCCUGUUCAUUUUUCCCUGGGGCUGACAUAAAGGCACAAUUUAUCACUGAGCAAGCUCUUGAGGACCUUUUGCUUAUAUUUCAACCUUGGCUAUCAAAAAAUGAAGUCCUCUUGUUUUUCCAGUGCCUGUCUUAAAACUUUUACAAAUCUUAUUCAUCCAGGAUAUGUCCUUGAUCAUUUGUGAUUUGGGUAGAGGAACAGGAGGCCAGUUUGUGAGGCACCAGCAGCCUUCAGAACAAACAUUGCAAGUGACAUGAUGUCACGGCACUGCAGCUGCACUUCAAAAGGAUUAUAACAGCUUGGGUUGUCACAAGGACGAUCCACUCAAGUUAGUCAGGGACAGCUUCCAGACAUUCUGGCCUUUUGUUGCAAUAAAAUGAUUUGUGCAUGGACUUGAAGCAGUUCAUGAAUAUUAUAGGAAAACUAACACAUGUAGAGUAACUCCUUUGCUAAAGAGGAAAUUCCACUGAAACGUGAUUCCUGUGCUGUAUGUGCACUGUGGGAUUAUUCUAAACCAUUUAUUCUAGAGUGUUUUUAGAUGUAGUUCCUGCAGAGGCAUCCAAGUCAGACACAGCUGAUGUGAGGCCAGUAAAUUUAGUGAUGGAUUAACUCUGAAUUUUGCAGAUCAUAAAAGUUAUCCUGAGAACUGUGUGAUGUCCAGUGAAGGAGUUUGGUCUAGUAGAAACAACAGUGGGGCUGAAAGAAAAAAACUCUACACUCAGCUAAAUGAAAUAAUAAAAACUUGAUCAAAUACUACUGACUUUCAAUGUCUGAGUACAUGAUGUUGACAGACUACUUUACACAUCAAAGAAGCCUGAUAAUGAAGUUGGGCAGAGCUAUUCUUAAGUGGAGUGAAAGGAGAAAUGAAGACAGACAAUGUCACUCCACUCCAGCUCAGUCAAUUUCUCAUCCUCACUUAAUGCUUGCACAGUGAUUGGAAGGUAUGAAGUGAAGAACAGGAUCAGGCAACUCCUCAUUCUCCUUAUUCUUCCAUUAGUGCUCCUCACUGCAGAGCUUUUGUUCCCAGUGGUGUGUAAUGUGGCAGUGGGCUCUGUUUGCUCCACUUGUGCUGCAGUUGUAUUCGGUCAGCUCACUCUCUGGAGACAUCCUUGCCAUGGAUCUGCUAUGUGACUUCUGCCAGCCCAAGGCUUUCCUGGGAAUCUGUUUUCCAUGCUUCCUCGACCUUUCACCUGGCAGCUGUCUUCUGUCUGUCACCUGUUGGGGUUUUUUGGCCCUGUAGCUAUUGUUCUGCAACUCACUGGGGACAUGAUUAUGGUCCCCAGUCCCCUUGGGGCUCACCAUUUUAUUUUCUGGCUUUAGUUCCCUGUCAAUUUCCCUCAUCUAGUAUAUUUUCUGGCUCUUUCUAGACCUUUGCUGCAUUUUGUCUGUAGUAGGAAAUAUUUCUAUCCCCAUUCAUACUCCAGCCUUGUGUAUUGCAGUGAGCUUUCACCUCAGGGAAAUUUCUGGUACUGCAUCUCUGCUUCCUGUCUCUUGCCUUUAUCAACAUUUCAUCUCCCCUGUCAAUGCAGAGUAGUUACAGUCCAUUUGAACUGUCAUAGGAAAGCUGAACCAGUAAAGGCAUCUAUAGGAGGGAUGAAGUUUUUAAUAGGAAAAUCAGUUGACCAAUAUGAAAAGCUCAAACACAUCCUCCAUGGUGUUUAGUCCCUUCUAUUCAAAGUACAGUAGUCAGAACAAACUUACUGAUACUCCAUUCCACUUUCUUUCAAAAGAUCUUCAACCUUAAAAGACUUCUCAGCUUCAACUCGGAAAUCAACUUGCAUUUUUGGCCUUACCAGUGUGACAGAGUCUGGCUGCCAAAAGUCAACCUGAAAGAAAGGCAAAUAAAGACAUAAACAAAUAAAUACAUAUGUGUGGCUGUGAUUUUUUUAGAUUGGUGUAUGUGUGCUGGUGAGGUUGUGAUUAAUAUACUGAAUUUCAUGCCUAUCCUAUUACACUGAUUCAGUAUUGCUUCCCACAAGUAUCAACCUAAAUUUUAACUGGAAAUUGAUUAAGAUUU